UCAAGCUACUAAGGGCACACGGUGGAUGCCUUGGUGGCGCCAGGCGAUGAAGGACGUGGCAAGCUGCGAAAAGCCUCGGUUAGGUGCAAGCGACCGACGAGCCGGGGAUUUCCGAAUGGGGGAACCCAUCCCGAAUAAUCGGGAUAUCCCAGUAAUGGGAGGCGAACCCGGGGAAGUGAACCAUCUCAGUACCCGGAGGAGAAGAAAUCAAACGAGAUUCCCAAAGUAGCGGCGAGCGAAAUGGGAGAAGCCUAAACCUGGCAUGUGUUAAAGCCUGCAGGCGUUGCAUGCUGGGUGUUGAGGGGCCUGAGAGGAGGGGGCUGCAGACUCCUCGGCCUAUAAUGUUUGUAUAGUGGAACUAUCUGGAAAGGUAGGCCAGAGAGGGUGAUAGUCCCGUACACGAAAUACAAGCAUUAAGGCUGUCUCAGGACCCCGAGUACUGCGGGGCACGAGGAAUCCUGCAGGAAUCUGGGUGGACCACCAUCCAAGGCUAAAUACUCGGCGCCGACCGAUAGUGAACUAGUACCGUGAGGGAAAGGUGAAAAGAACCCCUGUUAGGGGAGUGAAAUAGAACCUGAAACCGUGUGCCUACAAGCGGUCGGAGCCCAGUAGGUGCUGGGUGACGGCGUGCCUUUUGCAUAAUGAGCCGGCUAGUUACUGGUACCAGCGAGGCUAAGGGCUUAAGGUCCGGAGUCGAAGGGAAACCGAGUCUUAAAAGGGCGUAAAGUUGGUAUCAGUAGACGCGAAACCAGGUGAUCUAUCCUUGUCCAGGGUGAAGUUCCGGUGACACGGGAUGGAGGCCCGAACCAAUGUGGGUUGAAAACCGCUUGGAUGAGGUGAGGAUAGGGGUGAAAGGCCAAUCAAACCUGGUUAUAGCUCGUUCUCCCCGAAAUAGCUUUAGGGCUAGCCUCACAUGAUGCCUUACGGAGGUAGAGAUACUGGAUGGACUAGGGGGCAUACCAGCCUACCGAAUCCAACCAAACUCCGAAUGCCGUAAGGUUGCAAUGUGGGAGUCAGACUGCGUGCGAUAAGGUUCGUAGUCGAGAGGGCAAGAACCCAGACCGUUGGCUAAGGUCCCGAAGAGUGUACUAAGUGGGAAAGGAUGUAGUGGUGCUAAGACAACCAGGAGGUUGGCUUAGAAGCAGCCAUCCUUUAAAGAAAGCGUAACAGCUCACUGGUCAAGUGCCACUGCGCCUAAAAUGGACGGGGCUCAAGUACACCACCGAAGCCACGGUACCGACGCAAGUUGGUAGGUAGGGGAGCGUACCCUAGGCCUGUGAAGUCGUGUUGUGAGACACGGUGGAGGUAUGGGUAGUGACUCUGCCGGCACGAGUAGCGAAAACUCGGGUGAAAAACCCGGGCGCCGUAAGCCUAAGGCUUCCUGUCCAAUGUUAAUCAGGGCAGGGUUAGUCGGCCCCUAAGGCGAGGCCGAAAGGCGUAGCUGAUGGGAAUCCGGUUAAAAUUCCGGAACCACCUAAUGUUUCGAAGGGGUGACGCAGAAGGGUAUGCCUACCCACUGAUGGAUUAGUGGGGUCAAGCGUGUAGGGUGUCCCGGCAGGCAAAUCCGUCGGGAUAGACCUGAGGCGUGAUGACGAGUCGCUUAUAGACGAAGUGGCAAAUCCCCCGCUGCCGAGAAAAACCUCUAAGGUAAGGCAUUAGGUGACCGUACCGCAAACCGACACAGGUAGGCGAGGAGAGAAUCCUAAGGCGCUUGAGAAAACUCUGGCUAAGGAACUCGGCAAAUUAGCCCCGUAACUUCGGGAGAAGGGGUGCUCUAAGUAGGUGAAACCUCACGCAGGUGGAGCCGAAAGGAGUUGCAGUGAAGAGGCCCAGGCGACUGUUUAGCAAAAACACAGCACUCUGCGAACUCGUAAGAGGACGUAUAGGGUGUGACGCCUGCCCGGUGCCGGAAGGUUACGUGGAGGGGUUAUCUCGACUUUGUCGGGAGAAGCUCCGAAACUAAGCCCCGGUAAACGGCGGCCGUAACUAUAACGGUCCUAAGGUAGCGAAAUUCCUUGUCGGGUAAGUUCCGACCUGCACGAAUGGCGUAACGAUCUGGGCACUGUCUCGGCCAGAGACUCAGUGAAACUGUAGUAGCGGUGAAGAUGCCGCUUACCCGCAGCAAGACGGAAAGACCCCGUGGACCUUUACUACAGCCUGGUAUUGGUAUCUGGUACAUCAUGUGCAGGAUAGGUGGGAGGCUGUGAAGCCGGGACGCCAGUCUCGGUGGAGCCGCCCUUGAGAUACCACCCUUGAUGUAUUGGAUACCUAACGGAGGGGAGUGAAUCCUCCCCCCGGACAGUGACAGGUGGGUAGUUUGACUGGGGCGGUCGCCUCCUAAAGCGUAACGGAGGCGUGCGAAGGUUGGCUCAGGCUGAUUGGAAACCAGCCGCAGAGUGCAAAGGCAAAAGCCAGCCUGACUGCGAGACCGACGGGUCGAGCAGGGACGAAAGUCGGCCUUAGUGAUCCGGCGGUUCCGAGUGGAAGGGCCGUCGCUCAACGGAUAAAAGGUACCCCGGGGAUAACAGGCUGAUCUCCCCCAAGAGUCCACAUCGACGGGGAGGUUUGGCACCUCGAUGUCGGCUCAUCGCAUCCUGGGGCUGAAGCAGGUCCCAAGGGUUCGGCUGUUCGCCGAUUAAAGCGGUACGCGAGCUGGGUUCAGAACGUCGUGAGACAGUUCGGUCCCUAUCUGCUGUGGGCGUAGGAUACUUGAGGGGGCCUGACCCUAGUACGAGAGGACCGGGUCGGGGGUAGCGCUAGUGUACCGGUUGUUCCGCCAGGGGCAAUGCCGGGUAGCUAUCUACCACAGGAUAACCGCUGAAGGCAUCUAAGCGGGAAGCCGGCCCCAAGAUAAGGUAUCCC
rnacentral:rRNA from 1 species